rnacentral:rRNA from 1 species
GCAGGGUAUAGACCCGAAACCCGGUGAUCUAGCCAUGGGCAGGUUGAAGGUUGGGUAACACUAACUGGAGGACCGAACCGACUAAUGUUGAAAAAUUAGCGGAUGACUUGUGGCUGGGGGGGAAAGGCCAAUCAAACCGGGAGAUAGCUGGUUCUCCCCGAAAGCUAUUUAGGUAGCGCCUCGUGAAUUCAUCUCCGGGGGUAGAGCACUGUUUCGGCAAGGGGGUCAUCCCGACUUACCAACCCGAUGCAAACUGCGAAUACCGGAGAAUGUUAUCACGGGAGACACACGGCGGGUGCUAACGUCCGUCGUGAAGAGGGAAACAACCCAGACCGCCAGCUAAGGUCCCAAAGUCAUGGUUAAGUGGGAAACGAUGUGGGAAGGCACAGACAGCCAGGAUGUUGGCUUAGAAGCAGCCAUCAUUUAAAGAAAGCGUAAUAGCUCACUGGUCGAGUCGGCCUGCGCGGAAGAUGUAACGGGGCUAAACCAUGCACCGAAGCUGCGGCAGCGACACUAUGUGUUGUUGGGUAGGGGAGCGUUCUGUAAGCCUGUGAAGGUGUGCUGUGAGGCAUGCUGGAGGUAUCAGAAGUGCGAAUGCUGACAUAAGU